AUAUUUUUCAAGGGUUAGUUCUGAAAUCAGAAACUGGUGUUGUUUAAAUAUAUAAUCUGUUGUAGAUUAUGGUUUCUGUUUAUGGUGUAACAGUUCAAGAUAUGUGAUGACCAUGUAAAAUCUGGAUCCAUAGCAACUUGUUUAACUUGCAGCUUCUAUUUAAAAGGUCUCAACAUGUGUGGGUAAUAAUGUCUGUCUUCUUUACGAGCCUCUUGUUUACUAUGCUGCAUGGGGUAGUGCUCUCUUAUUGCAUAAACUAUCCCUGCUCAUCUCCUGCUUGGAAUUUCCAAGUUCAAACCAGUGGAUGUUCCUGUGGAGGUUCAUGUCUAGGCUUUGUUUGACAAUUAUUAGAUACCUGACAAUGGCAAUAUAGCUUGGGUUACUCAAUUAGUUAUUUGAUUAUAUCUUGUGGCAGUGGGAUGACAAAUAUUCUUGCUAAAAACUUUUGAUACUUGUACAGGAUCUUUUUUUCCUUUGCAUCUUAACUUUUAGCUAUUUGCAGCAACUAUGUUGACCAUCAUGUCA
rnacentral:misc_RNA from 1 species